CAGUCGCCGCGGUAAUACAGAGGGUGCAAGCGUUAAUCGGAAUUACUGGGCGUAAAGCGCGCGUAGGUGGUUUGUUAAGUUGGAUGUGAAAGCCCCGGGCUUAACCUGGGAACUGCAUUUGAAACUGGCAGGCUAGAGUCUUGUAGAGGGGGGUAGAAUUCCAGGUGUAGCGGUGAAACGCGUAGAGAUCUGGAGGAAUACCGGUGGCGAAGGCGGCCCCCUGGACAAAGACUGACGCUCAGGUGCGAAAGCGUGGGGAGCAAACAGGAUUAGAUACCCCAGUAGUCCCUGUCUCUUAUAC
rnacentral:rRNA from 1 species